rnacentral:rRNA from 1 species
GACGAACGCUGGCGGCGUGCUUAACACAUGCAAGUCGAACGGAAAGGCCCUACGUUUGUUGGGUUCUCGUUUGGCGAACGGGGGAGUAACACGUGUGUAACCUGCCCUUGUCUUUGUGGUAACUUUAGGAGACAGGGGCUCAUACCGGAUAGGAUCUCCUGCUGCAUGGUGGGCGUUAGAAAGUGUCGGCGGUUGGGGAUGGACUCGCUGCUUAUGCGCUUGAUUGUCGGGUAGUGGCUUACCAAGGCUUUGACGGGUAGGCGGCAUGAGAGGGUUACCGGCCACAUGGGGCCUGAGAUAGGGCGCAGACUGCUACGUGAGGCAGUAGUGGGGAACAUUGCGGAAUGGGCGGAAGCCUGAUGUGGCAACGCUGCGUGCGGGAUGACCGCUUUCGGGUUGUAAACCGCUUUCGCAUGUGAUGAAGCGUGAGUGACGGUAAUGGGUCAAGAAGCCCCGGCUAACUACGUG